AGAGUUUGAUCCUGGCUCAGGAUGAACGCUGGCGGCGUGCUUAACACAUGCAAGUCGAACGGGAAUUACUUUAUUGAAACUUCGGUCGAUUUAAUUUAAUUCUAGUGGCGGACGGGUGAGUAACGCGUGGGUAACCUGCCUUAUACAGGGGGAUAACAGUCAGAAAUGGCUGCUAAUACCGCAUAAGCGCACAGAGCUGCAUGGCUCAGUGUGAAAAACUCCGGUGGUAUAAGAUGGACCCGCGUUGGAUUAGCUUGUUGGUGGGGUAACGGCCCACCAAGGCGACGAUCCAUAGCCGGCCUGAGAGGGUGAACGGCCACAUUGGGACUGAGACACGGCCCAGACUCCUACGGGAGGCAGCAGUGGGGAAUAUUGCACAAUGGGGGAAACCCUGAUGCAGCGACGCCGCGUGGAGGAAGAAGGUCUUCGGAUUGUAAACUCCUGUUGUUGAGGAAGAUAAUGACGGUACUCAACAAGGAAGUGACGGCUAACUACGUGCCAGCAGCCGCGGUAAAACGUAGGUCACAAGCGUUGUCCGGAAUUACUGGGUGUAAAGGGAGCGCAGGCGGGAAGACAAGUUGGAAGUGAAAUCUAUGGGCUCAACCCAUAAACUGCUUUCAAAACUGUUUUUCUUGAGUAGUGCAGAGGUAGGCGGAAUUCCCGGUGUAGCGGUGGAAUGCGUAGAUAUCGGGAGGAACACCAGUGGCGAAGGCGGCCUACUGGGCACCAACUGACGCUGAGGCUCGAAAGUGUGGGUAGCAAACAGGAUUAGAUACCCUGGUAGUCCACACCGUAAACGAUGAUUACUAGGUGUUGGAGGAUUGACCCCUUCAGUGCCGCAGUUAACACAAUAAGUAAUCCACCUGGGGAGUACGACCGCAAGGUUGAAACUCAAAGGAAUUGACGGGGGCCCGCACAAGCAGUGGAGUAUGUGGUUUAAUUCGACGCAACGCGAAGAACCUUACCAAGUCUUGACAUCCUGCGACGAUGCUAGAAAUAGUAUUUUCCUUCGGGACGCAGAGACAGGUGGUGCAUGGUUGUCGUCAGCUCGUGUCGUGAGAUGUUGGGUUAAGU
rnacentral:rRNA from 1 species